rnacentral:rRNA from 1 species
CCCUUAGACGUUCUGGGCCGCACGCGCGCUACACUGACCAGUGCAACAAGCAUCCGUCCUUGGCCGACAGGCCCGGGCAAUCUUUGAACGCUGGUCGUGAUGGGGAUAGACUUUUGCAAUUUUUGGUCUUCAACGAGGAAUUCCUAGUAAACGCAAGUCAUCAACUUGCAUUGAUUACGUCCCUGCCCUUUGUACACACCGCCCGUCGCACCUACCGAUUGAAUGGUCCGGUGAAUAAUUCGGACUGCGGCAUUGACCGGUUCCCGAUCGUUGCUGCGGAAAGUUUAGUGAACCUUAUCACUUAGAGGAAGGAGAAGUCGUAACA